UACGUAGGGGGCAAGCGUUGUCCGGAUUUAUUGGGCGUAAAGAGCGUGUAGGCGGCCAAGCAGGUCCGCUGUGAAAACUCGAGGCUCAACCUCGAGACGUCGGUGGAAACCGUCUGGCUAGAGUCCGGAAGAGGAGAGUGGAAUUCCCGGUGUAGCGGUGAAAUGCGCAGAUAUCGGGAAGAACACCCGUGGCGAAGGCGGCUCUCUGGGACGGUACUGACGCUGAGACGCGAAAGCGUGGGGAGCGAACAGG
rnacentral:rRNA from 1 species